GUUUUAUGAGACCAGACUUAUUAAAGCUACAGAAAGAGCUUCUUUUGUUAAAAAGCUUUUUGGAUUAAGAAAACGGACAGUAAUUUAGGUAAAUGUAUCAAUCUCAAUUGGCUUCUCUUGUAUGAAAAGGAAUAAAUAAUGCAGAUCACUGUUUUUCAGAUAACGAGUCCUAACUCUUUGCCAAGGAUAUGGCAAAGACUCUGAUGGAAAAGGCAGUAAUGUGUACACAAAGGUGAACAUAAAUAAAUGUGUGUAUGAUAAACGCUGGGAAUGGACAUAGAAAAACGGGUAUGCAAUUGGACAGAGACGACGGGAGACAGAAGGAAAGAUACUUGCUCAGCUGUAUCUAAGUAAGUUCAUAGGAGUUUCAUGGUCUGAAAAAUCUGUGACAGUGGAAUUUCUACUAAGAAGCUUAAAAAAGUUUCACCUUCUCCUUGGACACUUCAGAAUAAGGCUUUCUUAGAAUAUAAUGCAUUAUAUCACAAAUAUACUUUUAUAUAAAAUAUUUGGGACCAAAACAAGAGUAAAGAACCAGGAUCCGAAAGGGUGAAUGCCUACUAAAUAUCUUUGAUUAUCUAAAGCUGUUUAAAAGCUAUUAGAUUGGCACCUGGAACCCCAAAAUAUCCACUUUUCACUGGGAAGGAGUGGCUGUGCCUCUUCAAUCAUCCCCUAAAUGCAAAGAAGUUUGACCCCCACGCAAUGGAUAAAAGUCACCCAAAAAAUGAACAAAAGAGGUGUUUGGAAAAACCAGAACACCAUUCAUCCCAGCUAACGACUUGUUCAUUAUGAGUGAUGAUGGAUAAAGACUUCUCAUGCUGAGAUGAAAUCAAGAUUUAUAUGCAUUGUUUCCUCUCCCAACUUGUGGGAAGAUCAUCAUCAUUUAAUUCUAUCUCUGCGGCCAGUGAUGGGCAUCCAGAGAGCUGGUUAUCAAACGGCGCAGUCAGCUGGCAAAAGCCGAAACGUGCAGUUGGCACAUCUGGACGGAGCCGCCACAGCCGAGGGUGAACAAUGACUCCUGGCAAGCAUCCAAAUUGCUUGCAGACGCUAGCAGGUCUCAUCUACAACCGCCCCUACCAGCAUCUCUCUCUCCCUCUCUUUUUUAUGAGAAUCAGAUUUUCAUUGCUCCAUUCAGUUGCUCUCCUCUGCCAUUUUUUACAGCUCUUAUCGUUCCCCUGGAAUAUGGCCUUGAGACAGCUCAUCCGUGUCCUUCACUGUGUUAUCUCUUCUAACUUUUAUUAAAACUUCAGCUUUCAUCUGAAGAUAGCUAAUUAAAUCUGGAACAGAUUAUAUGCCUCCCCUUAAAAAGAGCACAAAACUAUUUUCUUCAACCCCAGCAAUGCAAUGCUUUUUUUCCUUUCCAAAAGGUAAAAUCAAAGGUGUUUAAGAAGUCUCUUUAUUUACAGAGCUAAGAUAUUCAACACGUCAUAUAUGAGUUGAUUUAUAUUAAAGUUGUCUGUGAUAUGACAAAUCUUUGAGCUAUUUCUCAAGAUGAUUAUUUCUCAAUCCUGGUAUAUAUCCUUUAAAUAUCACAGCUAAUACUAUAAGCAUAUUUUCUAUAUAAAGUUGGGUAAUGAGGAGUUAAGUUAUUAGUGCACAUCAAGUGAUUUGUCUUUUUAUUCGUCUUUUUUUUUUUUUAAAAGGUUGCCCUCAUUUGAUAAGGAUGAAGAGAAAUUUUUCUUUUCUUCCCCAUACCACAAAUAUUAGUAACUAAAAGUUCUCCCAUGGGAAAUUAUGUGAAAACAUGAAAUUAAUAGCAGUGAUUCAAGUUUAGGACUGAUUCGGUUUUCAAGACAGCUUUAUAUCAACUGAUCAUCAGCACAAGUAGCUCUGUCUGAGUCUACCACAAAUUAUUAAUGAAGGAACUUCCACAAUUGAUAUGAAUACAUUCUUCUCACAUAUGCCGCUGACCCAGUCCCUUUCUGAGGCCGAGGGGCAGUGUACAAUCACCUUUUCUUGCAUAGAUCAGCUAACCAAACCUUUAGCAAUGACAUCUGAAAGAAUCUAGCCAGCCAUCACACACACACACCCCCUCUGCCCUUUUAAUAAGGGUUAAGCUUCUACUACUGUGAGAAUAUGAUUUAACUAUCCCACCUGAAACUUUCUGGGAUCCUUUUCUUCGCUUCACUGCCUUUAGUAAGAUUUCCUUCAUGGUAACCUUUGUGUUGUCCACCUGAAUAAGGGAGAAUCCAUGAGCAGCAUUUCUGUAGGAAAAGACAAAUAUUAAAUCAUCACCAACAUUCAUCCAGAGAGAUGUUACUGCAAUCUUCACUGUGUUUAAGCAAGUUUUUUUUGUUGUUGUUUGUUUUGUUUUGUUUUUGAAAUGGAGUCUCCCUCUGUCACCCAGGCUGGAGUGCAGUGGCGCAAUCUCGGCUCACUGCAAGAUCCGCCUCCUGGGUUCACACCAUUCUCCUGCCUCAGCCUCCCGAGUAGCUGGGACUACAGGCGCCCGCCACUACAUCCGGCUAAUUUUUUGUAUUUUUUUUUUUUUAGUAGAGACAGGGUUUCACCGUGUUAGCCAGGAUGGUCUCGAUCUCUUGACCUCAUGAUCUGCCCGCCUCGGCCUCCCAAAGUGCUGGGAUUACAGGCAUGAGCCACCGCGCCCGGCCGUGUUUAAGCAAGUUUUAAAAAUACAUAAAUCCAUUGUGGCACAAUGUAAUAUGUAUCACCAUGCUACACCUGCGGACGCUUCCGAGCGGCUGCCAUGUCUGUGCAGUCAGGAAUGAUAAGUGAACCACCCGUGAAUGUUAACGAUAGUGAUCAUUCUGAGGUAACUCGGCUCUCCAUCUUCCUUUACAGCCUCCGUGCUGAAGCCAGGGUAGCAAGGUUCAUGAGAGGAAAAUGAAAACAACAGCGAAGGGAAGGGGCACACACGGCCCUCAGAAUGGACCUUCGUGAGUGUGCAGUAUCUUACUCUGGGGCUCCAUUUCCGUAAAAACGUGCACGUUAAAAGGAGAAAGAGGUUCUGCCCUGAGUGCUGCACAUUCAGGCAGACCUAAUAAGAGUUUCCUCAGGUCAGUCCCACGCUCCGCUCCUUUCCCUCCAGACGAAUGCCAACUUUGGAUCUUGUUCCACGUCUACAGCGCUUUGGGGGGAGAUGGGCAGUGUUUUGUUUUUUGAGUAAUACCCUCAUAUGUUUCCAAAACGUAAGAGCAUAGAAUGCAAGUGGUUCUCAGCCUCCGUCUAGGUGCAAGUGUUAAGUUAUGCUCCCAUUUAACAAGUGGAGAUGGAGACUUGCCACCACAAUUUUCAGCUUGACUUCCAAACAUUCUGGGUUUUAUGCCUCAUUUCUUUAUAUCCAGGAUUUUUUAUGGGCUUUCUAAAAAGUCUAUUGAAAUACAUCUUUUAAAGCCUUCACUUAAUGUGGGAUGCUGGGUUUGAAGCUGAGAAGACAAUGAUCCUGGGGGGAGUGCUGGUAGUGGGCAGGAAAGGAAGGGUGCUCCUGGUCCUGGCCUGCCUUCCCUGUGGCACAUGCUCCAGUCUCUGGGUUAGGAGCUGUGGCGGGGUGAUCAGCCCUCGGAUGAACAGGCAGGCUACACACAGACUCAAAGUCUCGGCUCAGAAACCGCUCCUCCUCCUGCUCGCCUCAGGGACAGACAACCUG
rnacentral:lncRNA from 1 species